AUUUAGAAACUUAGCCAAACAGGCUAUUACAUGUUUGGUUUCUUAACUUGCUUCACUUGGAUAUAAAAUUCACAAGGUAAAUAUAUCACAAAUUAGUCUGGAGGUCUACGAUGGCCCUUGCUUCAUUUAGAUCAUACAAAUUAGUCUGAAGAUAUUUUGGAAACAUGAGCUUGCUCUGAAAGUCAGCUAGUAAGUCCAUACUUCAACUAUACAAGCAAAUGAGCAUCAUGAACUCCAUUUCAUAUGUUGUCUGCGAACUGGCGUUGUUAUGCAAGAAAAAGUGGGGUACUCACUGGGACUUUCAUGCCAAAAAGUCUCUUUUCAAGACUACUUGUCAUAUACCCACUUUAAUCCACCUCAUUAUCCAUUCUUUUCAACUUAACAAAUUCACCCACAAGUUUUUAAUAAUACACUUUAACCCACCUCCAUCAUCCACAAUUAUAUAUAAAAUAAUUGGGUUUUCAAAAAUAAUUAAAAAAAAAAUCCAAAAUCUUAAAAUAGAAGCUUCCAUUUCCGUCCAAAAAGCUCUGAUUCAGGACCAAUUCCGACGUUAUUUUUCGACGAUCAGCUCUAAAUCAGUCCACAAACAUCAUAAGUUUUGCCAUUGCAUCCAUUGUUACCCCAUUUGUUUGUUAUCUUCUCAAACACACUUUUCACCAUUGUUAAAAAGUUUUAAAUCACUCACAUUACUCAAAACCUCUUUAGAAAGUACAUUACAAUAGCUCAGGCGACUCCAAGUUUAUUUCUCUAUUCUAUAAACCCACCAAUUGUUGAUUAGAAGCAAUAUUUGUAAUUUCAAGGUUUUUGUAUAGAUAUCUACCCAAUCAUCGACUGUACAUAUAUCCCAAUAUAGACUAUCAGCAUAAUCAACCAUCGACCAAAGCUUAAUUCUAGGAUGUCUAUUGCAGAAUUUAUUCUGAUUUUUGAUGAUUUCAUGAGAGAUAGGAGGAGACUCCUAAAUAUUGGAAAUGGAAAUCUUUUACCAAGGAGACACUACCCAUUGUUAUUCGCUGCAAUGGAUCAUACGACGACUUGGUUGUAAGCAUAAUGGAGAGUGGGAUCUACAUUGCGCACUAAGCGACAAGGUGAUUAGUUAUGUAAUGCAUUCGAGAGAAAAGGUACAUCCUACGAUCAUAAAUAAUGAUAUACACGUGUCAUUUUACAUGAUGGAUGUUGAUGGCUUUAGGCCUAUUUUAAGGAUAAAUGUAGUUGAGGGGCACUUUGAAGAACCGUUGAAUUCAUCAUCCCCACCUCGGUGUCUGAUAGUCGACAAUGAUUUGAAUGAUUAUGAGAAUAAUGGAGAUCAUCCAAUUAAUAUGGAAGAUAAUUCUAUGGAUAUGGAAUUUGAUUUAUCGAACUCGCAAGAUGUAGAAGAAUAUUGUGGAAUAGGAUCACAACCAAGCCAUUCCUUCAUUGAUGGAACUAAUUUCUAUUGUGAUUAAACAUUUGCCGAUAAGAAAGAGCUGCUACUAGACUGAGCAUCGGUGAGGCAGUCUUUUGAUUAUAUUACGGAGAAGAGUUGCACCAAAUUGUUGAAGGUAAAAUGUGUAUCUCGUGGUUGCGGCUGGUUAUUGUGGGUAAGGAUGUACAAAUGCUUGGACAGAUUUUGCAUAUAUAAGUAUGUUUGGUUCUACACGUGCGGUAUUGAACACGCCAUGGGCAGGCACAAGAAAAUCUCAUCUUAGAUCUUUGUUUCACUAUACGUAAAUCAUUUUUGUGAUGGUAAGGGUUCAAGCAUAAGAGAAAUUCAGAGGAUUGUGUUUAGGGAGAUGCUUAUUCAAUGAAUACAAUUGAAGAUUACCUUGAUUAGAUUCACGAAGAGUAAAAAUUAUUUGAUAAUAAAUUCAGAUCACAUAUAUAGUCUAUCGUAGGUAAGCAAAUCGAUCUACGCUACACCAGAUAAUAUUUUAUGCACUACCAUUAAUCUUAUAUAUUGUCACUCUUCGACCAUACAUAUAGGUCGAUCGUAAACCAUAUGAAUCGAUGGACCAUCAGUAGCUUGUAGUUUGAAAGAAAAUAAUUAAAUUAAAAAAAGUUUAAACACAUAAUUACUUGAACUGUUGAGCUGUUGGUUAAACAAUCUUGAACUGUUGGUGACAUUUAAUAGACUGUCAUCGAUGUUGACCCAUGUCAAUUUCACGUAAAAAAUACUUGUGUUUUGAAGGUUCCAUCGAUUCUUUUGGUCUAUCAAAAACUUACACUGUAGGUCGUACAUGGAUUGCCCUCUUGAUCAUUCGUAGAUCACAUAGAUCUAUGUACAUGGUUAUAGACCCUCACUUAGAUGUUGUUUAAAAAUGAAUAAUUAAAUAAAAAAUAAACAAAUUGUAGAUACAUAUAUGAAGGAGUUUAAACAAGUCACAUGAUUUUGUUAGAGCUUACACAUAUUGGGGGUGGUGAUUGAAGGAUUAUGUGAAUGGUUAGUGGUUGAACAAUCAGCAUCCUCAAAGUAAUGUUUGUCAAAGCACAAGUAUGUUUUGAGGAUGUUGAUUGUAUUUGAUGACUACCCAUCCAUAUACUCUUUUGAUUUGGGGGUGGUGAUUGAAGAAGUACGUGGAUGGGUAAGAAUCAAAUAUAAUCAACAUCCUCAAAACAUACUUGUACUUUGACAAACAUUACUCUUAGGAUAUUGUUUGUUCAACCACUACCCAUCCACACACAUCGUAAUUCACCACCCCUAAUUUGUAUAAGCUUUAAUAUGAAUAUGUGACUUAUGUAAACUCAGUCAUAUGUGUAGAAUUCCACACUCCAUUUAUUUUUUAUUACUUUAUUCAUUUUUAAAUAACAUGCUAGUAAGGGUCUAUAAUCAUGUACAUACAUCUACGAGAUCUACCAAUGAUCCAAAAAUCAAUCGAUGCACUAUCUACGGUGUCAGUCUAUGGUAGACCAAUUGAAUCGAUGGACCCUCAAAGCACAAGUAUAUUUUUUACUUAAUUAUUUUCUUUUUAAACAUGUUAUUGAGGGUCCAUCAAUUACGAGUGUUGGUGAUAGACUUUAAUAUCUUGUUGAUGAUUUACAUAGGUCAUGAUCAAUGACAGUCUAUUAAGUGUCAUCAACAGUUAAAAAAAUACAAUUACUGUUCCAACGGUAACAAACGACUAAUUUUGUAUUCCUUCAAUAUUAGCACUUCUUUUUACUUUAUAUAUAAAGUCUUUCAUCCCUUAUUACUUUAUGUCAUCCACCUUGUUUUUAUUUUAAUAUUCUACAAUGUCUCAAGCAUCUCAAACAUCCAAUUCUGAAAAGACUCUAAUUUGUCAUUGUGGAAAUGCGACUGUCUUAAGGACAUCACGAACGGACUAAAAUUCAAGUCGUAAAUCUUAUAACUGUGCAAUUGCGAAGGUGAGUCGUGCAUGUCUUAUUUUAAAAUUAAGUAAAUCGUUAGGUAAUUAUUAUUAUUUUCUAGGAUAAUGGCACAUGCUAGUUUUUUAAAUGGCUUGAUGACGAAUCACCUUCAAGCAGUCCAUGAAUGUUGAGUUUGGGACCCGAGACAUCAAAUUUUCAUGGCGUGAUAAAAUUUAAUCUACUACAAAGGUUCCAAGAAUACGAAGAAAAUAGAGAUUUUCCCAUGACUUUAUUCAAAGAAGUCGAAGAGCAGAGAGAUCACUUGAAAGUAUUAUUACAAGACACCUAAAUAGAGAAGAAUCAACUAAAACAAAAAUUGGAUUUGGCUAAAGAAAGAAAGAAUGGCCUAAAAAUGAUGUUAUGUGGUAUAAUGCUUGUAUUCGUUGUUUGGAAAGGUGUAACAUGAAUGUAGUGAGAUUGAACAAAUAAAAAUACUUUUAUUUUUCUAUAAUGUUAAUACUGUUUUUCAUAGAAUCAUAGUUGAUUAAACUACACAUCGACUUAAAAUCGAGUAGCAUGAUAAUGAUAGACUAUGCUAACAGUAUACGAAAGAUUAAAUAUUGCAUUCUAUGAUGUCAACCAUACACUGUAUCAGUUAUGACAACGCAAUACAUAUUCAAAUUUCAUGCAAUAAUACAGUUUGAUAAAAACAAAUUCAAUGCAGAAUCAUAACAAUUUUUAUAAAAAAUAAAUAAAUAAAUUGUCAUAUCCUAACAACAGAUCAUUCAACUCUGUUGUUUCUCAAAUAAAAAAAAAUCUUGAACAUUAACAAUAUUAGCAUUCAAAUGUCUUUUUCUUCAUCAUCACAAAUGUUAUCGUUGUUGAAAUCAACGAUAUUCAUGACCACAUCUUUUUUACCUACUUCUUCUUUUUCUUCUUUCUGUCCAUUUUUUUUUGUCUUCUCUUUCUUCUUUGUCUGCUGCUUCUUCCUUUCCGUCUUCAGCUUCUUCUUCAAUAAUUCUGUCAUUGUCAAUUUAUAAACCACGAGUCUACUAACAGAAAUAAUUCAAUGCACAAAUAAAAAAGCCAAAAUAAUUAAGAAUUAGCCCACCAUUAAACAGUUCACAACGUGAUGAACGAAAAAUUUUCAAUCAAACAUGCAGUAUCAAAACUCAACUAUUGCUACAAAUCAAACUAAUUAGCUAUUAAUAUUUUAAUUUUGACUAUUUCAUCAAUCAUAAUUUAAAAGAAUUUCACACACCUAAAUAUUAAUUUCAAUCUAGGGCAUUAUUGUUUCAUAGACCACAAAUCUAUGGACAGAAUCAGGCAACUGCUCCAAUCAAAUAUCCAAAAUAACUCAUAAAUUAACAAUUAUCCCACCAUCAAUACUGCAGUACUCAAAAAAUACCAGAACUAAAACAAAACUCCUUUAACAAAAACUUUAAAAUUCAACACUGUGAUCGACGAAAAAAUCUGUCGAAACUACUGAAUUAAAACUCAACCAUUACUUUGGAAUCAAACUAAUUAAUUACCUAUAAAAUUUUCAUAUUUUAACUAUUUAAUCAACCACAUUCGAAAAAAAAUCCUAUUCUACAUUACUACGAAACGGUUAAUAAUAAAAAUUGAUAAAAUGGAUCUACAAAUAAUCGAAACUUGAUUUUAACUUACCUUAAAAAGCAAAAACGAUCCCUUUGUGUUGGAGAAGAAGAAAAAUAAAAAAUGGCGUUUGGAAGAAAUUUCUUGUAAGUAGAGGGAGAGUUGAAGUUGAAAAGAUGAGAGAAAAGGGAUUUUAUUUAAUAUUGAAAUAAGUGAAGAGUGUUAGAUGUAUUAUAUUAAAUUCUCAAAGUUUGAAAAUGAUGAAAAGGCCCCUCGGCCCACAUGUGGACUCCACUUUUACAACUUUUCCUCACUUUUUUUAUCCUAACCCUAAAAAUUAAAUUAAAAAAAAAAAUAGUGGGUAUAUAACAAAAUAGUUUUGUAAAGUGGCUACUAUGCCAAUUUUUCCCUACUCACUGCAUGAAAGUCUAGCUGUUAUCUCUUCCUGCGCUUCAACUCCCCCUGGCCAUUGAAUCAGAUAUGGCUUAGGUAAAAAGUUAACAAGCAACAGAUAAAUUAGAUUUCAAGUUCCAUGAAUGACUAUAUUUCAAGCAUAGCAUAUUCUGAAGCUAAAAGUGUGCCAUGUCCUAAUCACCUCCCCCAAUACUUCUUCCGACUACCGCUAUUAAAACUAUCCAUAGCCAAAUUCUCACACUUACGCACUGGGGCAUCCAGACAUAUCCUCUUUACAUGUCUGAACCAUCUCAGUCUCACUUUCCGCAUCUUGUUCUUCACAAAAGGCACUCCCAUCUUUUUACGAAUGUCCUCAUUCUAAUCUUAACUCUCCUAAUAUGUCCACACAUCCAUUACAACUCUUCAUUUCUGCAACUUUCAACUUCUAAAUAUUAAGAGCUUUUGAUUGGCCAAACUCCUACCCAUACACAAGUUUUUAUUUUUAUAUAGAUAAUUUAUAUAGGUUUCGCCACAAUUUAAUAAACCUAUCAAUGAUACUUGCCUGAGUUUUGUAUUAUUCAAUAUUCAAGUUAUUUAGGAGCAAUUUAUUUAGUGUUUUAAUCCCUAAGGUUAGCUAAGUUCAACAGCAUAUAUUGAUGUAAGGUUGUUUUCGAUCUAUGCAAGUGAAUCUCCCCUCGUUGUUAGACUACACUAGGUAUGUUAUUGAUGUUGUAAUAAUUGUUAAUCUCAUAGUGAAAUUUAUCAAUAUAGAUCUUCCAAAGGAUAUUAAGUUAAUCAAUUUGUUUGAUUCUUGUUAAACAUAUAGCUGCAUAUAAGAAAUUGUGUCCUUCGCUCUUGUAGACUGAAUGAAAUAAAUUUCCUGUAAGAAGAAGAAUCCAAAACACCGACAAAACCAAAACAAAAAUAAAUGAUUAUUAGGUAUGCAUUUUAGUAAAGUUGCAUAGUUGAUUUGUUUUUGUUUAGAUAAAAAUUGAACCAUGCAAACCCUUAUUCCCUACAUUCAAUUUCCUUCUAAUCCGUAUAACUAUGGAAUUCUUUUCAACUAGGGAGUGACGGACAAACUAUCAAAAUACAAGCAAUCCGAUGACUGGAUAUCAACUUAGAUUGGUCAUUAGUCAUUGAUUUUAUCACUAGUCUCAUACAUUAGGUAUCAUGAUAGACCUAAGAAGAUCCUUUGCUCAGUCCCAGCAUUCUCUCCUUCCUUUAGGGUGAAGGAAUCUGACAUACUAUGAGAAAUCACGUGACUAAACAUGCAAUUCUCCCCUUCUUACCGAGCCCGUCACUCUCUUUUGACGUAACUGAAAGAUCCCAACAACCAGCUUCAUAUAAGAACAUAGUGUAAGAAAGCAAUCAUUACCAUCCCAUCUCUAUCACAAACAGAAACCGUCCAUUAGCUAAUUCUGAUUUUUGAUAAAUAAGGACAUUAGCUGACUUGAGAUACAAUGCCUGCUAAUAACAAUAAUACUGGAACAUCUCAAGCUAUCAAGUGUAUGCAACAUAUUCUUACCUUUGGCUCAACAUGAAACGAGUUCAAAGGUCGUUUGUCAGCAUCUUUCGAUGAACAGAGAGAACACAAGAAAGGGUCUAAUUUCUUUGCUUCUUCAAUGGUCAUACUCAUACAGGUAGGAUGGAACCUGCAGUAAAAUUACAAAAAAAUUAAGACCAUCUGACAAAAAUGGAUACCUUUGAAUAAGUUCUUAAAAACAUAGUUAGCUAACAAUCAUAGCUUAAGAUUAAUAGAAUCUAAUGACCAACUCAGGCCUCCCUCAAAUACAGGAUGUUGACCAACAGAACAAGAAUUCCACUCAACGCAUGUAGAGGCAAUUACAGCCGUAAGAAUUUUCCUACCUCCACUCCAAAAUAAUGUGGCCUUCUGUUCCCUUUCAAGUUCCUCGAGCUCAGCCAAAUACAGAAAAUUUACACUCAUCCUUUCUAGUUACUCCCUCUGUUCACUUUUAACUGUCCAGUCCACCUUUUAAUUGUCCAGUCUGGACUUUGCACGCCCCAUAAGAAACAAUGAUUAAUAUGACUACUACCACAAUACCCAUAUUCAUUGAUGUUAAGUCCUAGGUCUUGGAAAAGGAUUUGGCGAAUAAGUAACUGAUGUUGAGGGUAAAACGUGGAAUAUAUGUUUUUCUCUUGAUAUGCUACAAGUGACAAGUAAAAGUGAAAAUGUAUUUUUAGUAUAGAGGACAAGUAAAAGUGAAUGGAGGAAGGUACUAUUAGUCAACAUCAAUUACAAUAUUUACCUUCCAUAUUUAGCUUUAAUAUCUUUCAUAUAUUAGGAAGUUGAUUAUAUAUUAUUAGUCUAGAAUAUUUUGUAAUUAUAUUUACCAUGUAUAGUUCUUACCAUGAAUAGGAUUUGCCAUGUAUAAUUUUCCUUGUAACUUUAAAAGGAGAUGAGCUCCUUCGUUAAAAGAGAUAUAGAAAAUCAAAGUUUUUCCCUUGUUCAUAUGGUAUGAGUGCUUUAGUUUUUUUUUCAGUCUUCUCCCCCUUUUUUUUCCUCUCCUUCUAUUCGUGUUUUUUUCCCGUCCAUUCCAAUGGGUUCUCAUCAUCAAUGUUCGGCAAUGAAACUUGAUGGAAAUAAUUAAUUUAUGCGUUCUUCGUAUUUUCAAAAUUUUCUUGAGGGAAAAGAGCUUUGGGUUCAUGUUACUUUGCCCAAACCUAAAACCACGGCUGAGAAUGCCGAAGUCAUCUCCAAAUGGUGUGUUUCUGAUGCAAAGGUCUGCACUUGGAAUAUGGAGUCUGUUGGUAGCACAAUUGCUCAGAAUCUUAGUCCUAUAACCUCUGCUCGUACGAUGUGAGAUUACCUUCAAUGAAUCUAUCAACGUAGUAAUGAUGCACGAAUUUAUCAAUUGGAACGGUCUCUUACAUCUCUUUCUCAAGAGACCGCCAGCAUUCAAGAAUUUUAUUGUUCCAUAAUAUUGAUUUGGAAUGAGAUGGAUGUGAUUGAUGACACCAAUAUUCUAGAAGCGGUACUUGAAACGGUCCUUAAAAUGCUAUAGAAAUCUAUUUUUCGUACGUUUCUUAUGGAGUUACGAUUAGAGUUCGAGUAUAUUUGGGCCUCUAUUCUCAACCGCAACUCAGUCUCUUUGCUUGAUAGUAUUCUUGUUGAUCUUCUUGCCGAAGAGAACUGUUUGGCCUCUCUCUCUCUUCUCUGAGUUCCCCUCCUAAUUCCUUUGCUGCUUACAAAGGAAAGUAUCGUGACUUGUCUACUGUUGAGUGUUUCAACUGUCAUGAGAAGGUUCAUUAUGCUUCUCAUUGCUGCAACCAGAGAGGUUCCACCUCCAAAUUAUUUUGUCGAUAUUGCAAGAAAAAUGUCAUCUGAUAGAAAAUUAUUAGAUUUGUCCACCACAUUCCAUCCAUUUGACCACUUCUGCAGCCUUUACAUCUACCAUUGAUCCUCCUGAUGGUUCCUCUUCUUCUUUACCUGUUGACCUUGUCCAGCAACUUAUCAAAGGUCUUCAUGCUGUAGGUUUUGGUAAGCCUAAGUUGACUACUCCUUGGAUUAUAGAUUCGGGUUCCGCUCAUCAUAUGACUAGUGACUUGACAACCUUUGCUUCCUCAAAGCCUCCUUGGGUCCCUGGGACUAUCACUGUUGCCAAUGGAAUGAAUCUUGACAUUCAGAAAAGUGGCACUUUAAAGUAUAUCUUUCCUGAUUCUCCUCCUCUAGUCUUAUCUGAUGUUCUUUAUGUCCCUAAAUCAUCUGUUAAUUUGAUUUUUGUUAAUCGACUUGUUGACAAACAUUGCUUAGUUUCUUUCUCACCUAAUGGUUGCCUUAUUCAGGAUCUGAGAACCGGGAAGGUGAUUGACCAAGGCCGUAGAUAAGGGGAACUCUUCAAUUAGAUUUGGGCUCAUCCUUCAACUCUCACAAGUGUUUUCUUGCUCCAUCUUCUCAAGAGGUCGACUCAGUCAACGCUUUUUGAAAACUGUGGCAUAGGCGCUUGGGACAUCCUAAUACUCAGAGUUUCAAGUCUUUAUUUUUUUCUGGUGACUUUAAGAAUAAUGUCACUAUUGAUUGUGAAUCUUGUGCUUUUGGAAAAUCACAUUUGUUGCCAUUUAAUAAAAGUGUUCAUCAUACUAUCUCUCCAUUUAAACUUAUUCACUCUGAUGUUUGGGGUCCUGCGAGCUCUAAGUCACUCUCUGGCAAUUCUUAUUAGGUUAUAUUUCUGGAUGAUGUAUCUCAAUAUACAUGGAAUUACUUUCUUAAACACGAAUCUGAGGUAUUCAAGGUCUUUAAGUAUUUUUAUGCCAUGGUCCGUACUUAAUUUGAGAAAAAUAUAAAGAUCCUUCUCACGAACUCAGGUGGUGAAUACAUCUCUAAAGAUUUUGAGCAUUUCUUUGCUACUUAAGGUGUCAUUCACUAGAAAACUUAUCCUCACCAGUCUCAGCAGAAUGGUGUAGCUGAACAAAAGCAUCGCUAUAUUAUCGAAACAGCCCAUGCUCUUCGACUUCAUGCCAGUUUACCACAAGUAUUUUGGGCUGACAGUGUCCACACGGCAGUGUACCUCAUUAAUCGGAUGCCCAGUAUGGUUCUCAAAAAUAAGUCCCCUUUACAAAAGCUCUUUAACACUAAGCAUUUGUAUGAUAUUUUUUGUGUUUUUGGGUGUACGUGUUAUGUGCUUCUUCCAAGAUCUGAGUACUCUAAAAUUGAUGCCAAAUCUGCCAAAUGUAUUUUUGGGGAUAUUCAGACACUCAAAAAGGAUAUCGUUGUUAUGACUAGGAUGCUAGACGAGUGAGGAUCUCACGCAAUGUUCUAUUCUUUGAGGAUUCAUUCUCAUUUUGCUAAACUGCGGAAUCAACAGAUGCUAUUGUUCAUUCGAUUCCCUUAUCGUCAUACUUUGAUGAUGAGCCUGAUCCUAAUGUGAGAGUUCCCCUGGCUGCUCCUCCUUCUUCACCGUCUCUAGAUCCAGGUAUCCCCUCUUCUUCUUCUUAUAUUCUUGUCUCUUUCGAAACACUACAUAGUGCAGUCACUACCCAAUCUAGUCUGGUUAGUAAACCCCCUUCCUGACUAUCUUUUUUAUCUUCACUUGAUCAUAUAUUUAUUCCUAGAUCUUAUAAAUAGACGUCUGACAGUAAAGAAUGGACCCUUGCUAUGCAAAUCGAACUUGAUAAACUAGCACGAAAUCAUACAUGGGAUUUGGUUCCGGCACCAUCGGAUCAAACUAUGGUUGGAUGUAAAUGGUUCUAUACUCUGAAGCAAAACUUUGAUGGCACAUUGGAUUAAUAUAAAGCUCGCUUGGUAGUGCAAGGCUUUAAGCAAGAUAUGGGAUCGAUUAUGAGGAAACAUUUGAUCCUGCGACUAAAAUGACUUGUUCAUACAUUAUUGGCUAUUACGGCAGUUCGACAAUGGGACAUCUCGCAGAUGGAUGUCACUAAUGCCUUUUUUAAUGGUGAGCUUUUCGAGACUAUAUUUAUGAAAUCUCCUCCUGGCAUCUCCACUUUUCCAUCAAUAGUAUGAAAAUUGCGAAAGGCUAUUUAUGGCUUAAAGCAAGCUCCACACGCUUGGUUCUCCAAGUUGAAGUUUGUUCUUCUGCAAGGUGGCUAGCGACAGAGCCAUAAUGAUUAUUCUCCGUUUAUUUCUGCCUCACCACAAGGGAUAGUUUUUGUGCUGAUAUAUGUGCAUGAUCUCUUGAUUACUAGGGAUGAUGCAGAAGGUAAUUUGCAGCUUAAAGGUAUGUUACAAUCUUCAUUUCAAAUGAAGGACUUGGGGCAUGCAUUUUAUUUUCUUGGUCUCGAAAUCUCUCGUAAUGCUAGUGGCUACUUUCUCCACCAACGAAAGAAUACCUAAGAAAUUUUAGACAUGGCUCACCUGACUAAUGAGACCAUUAUUGAUAUACCCAUGUAGCAGAACACUCAUUAUUUUAAGACUGAUGGGGAACCUCUCUCAUACCCGACCCUCUAUCAUGCUUUGUUGGGAGCUUGGUCUACUUAACUGUCACUAGACCUAACAUUGCUCAUGCAAUUCAUAUUUUUAGUCAGUUUGUGUCUGACUCUUGACGGCUUCAUCUUACGGUUGUUCAUCACUUUUCCGUUAUCUUUGAUCAACCGCAACUAUGGGUCUGUAUUACAGUCGUGACUCACCUACUCUUCUGCCUUCCUUCUUAGAUGUUGAUUAUGGUGGGUGUCCCGACACUCGUCAUUCGACCACUGGGUAUUGUGUGUUUCUCGACAACUCCUUGCUAUCUUGGAAGUCAAAGAAGCAAGCAACCAUGUCCAAAUCAACCACCGAAGCAAAAUAUCGUGCCAUGUCAACUACUUGUAAUGAAGUGGUUUGGUUACGUCGUUUGUUGGCUGAUCUAGACAUUCAAUCUUCCUCUCUCACUCCUAUUUAUUGUGACAAUGAAAGUGCUGUAAAGAUUGCAACCAAUCCUGUUUUUCAUGAAUGAACCAAGCAUAUCGAGAUUGGUUGUCACUUUGUUCGGAAAAAAAUUCAAGAUGGUCUUAUUUCUCUUCCUUAUGUUUCCUUUAGAGAUCAAUUGUUGGAUUUUUUCACCAAGUCACAAACCAAGAAACGACAUGAAUUCUUUAUUGACAAACUUUUGGUUGACCACCAUCAGUUUGAGGAGAGUGUUAGUCAACAUCUGUUACAAUAUUUACCUAUCAUAUUUAGCUUUAAUAUCUUUCAUAUAUUAGGAAGUAGAUUAUAUAUAAUUAGUCUAGAAUAUUCUGUAAUUAUAUUUUACUAUGUAUAGUUCUUACCAUGUAUAGGAUUUGCCAUAUAUAAUUUUCUUUGUAACUUUAUAAGGAGAUGGGCUCUUUCAUUCAAAGGGAUAUAGAAAAUCAAAGUUUUUCCCUUGUUCAUAGGUACAUCUUUUCCAACUUUACAAGAUUUUUUAUUUUUUGAGAAGCUUAUUUAGAUUGUCCUUGUCUCAACCUUUUUUCUAUUUUGUAGUUCAACCUUAUUCUCAACUCACUCGGAUAAUUGAUCAUUUUCAUCAUUUCUCUCUCAUUAAUUCCCUUAAAGGAACUUAUACAUCUAUAGAUUCAGUUCAAACUAAUAGACCAAUCAUUCUCAGACGAUUGGCACUAUAUUAAUCUAUUAGACCCAUUCUCUCUUAUAAACAUCUAGGGACAUCUUGACUUCAAAUCUAAACUAUACCCAUAAAGAGGUUCCAGUUCUUGUCAGAGUAUUUGUUAGAACUUUGGGCAGAAAUUUGAAAAAUUGAGCACAUCUACAACAAUAGCUUUUUUAUUUGUGUGACAUAUUUUAAUAAAUGAAAAUUGGGCUGAAAGCAUUGAAAAUAAGUAAUCUCAGAGCAAUUCGCUGCUUUUAGUAACACAACAUGGAUAGUGAGCAACAAUGACGUGAUAACUUAAAAAAACUAUCUCAGAAAUAAGAUAUUCUGAGAGGAAGAGGGAUAUGGCAAUCUCUUUGUUGCAUUUCAUGAUUUAUGUCCCUGGAUGUUGGUCAUGUGGCCAUUUAUCUGUCUUUGCAACUGUUCAUUAAUGCAGUUAGAGAAACUUCAAAAAGACGUAUCCCUCUCUCUCAAAUUACUUUUUAACCUAAAGUUUAGAGUACAAAAUGCAAACUUGGUUGUUGGUUUCCAUGAAAACAAGAAUAAAGAUAUUUAUACGUUGUUUGUCUUACUUUCCUUUUUAGUUCAUUUAAUCUAGAAUGUCUCUUUUCUUUUUUGACAACUUUUAAAUUCUAUCUUUUCACGUGCAUGUUUAAGAUCACAAAAUUAAAUGAUAUUUUGGUAUAUUUUACAUAUCUCUAAUUUAAAACCAUAAGAUUCAAAAGUCAUAUUUACUUUUUCAAACUCCCUAUCAAAUCAAAUUCAAGCCAAAUAGACAAAAAAAAAACAGAGGAAGUCUCGAUUUAUCCCAUUUUUCUCAGCAAAAUGAUGCCCUCUAGCAAGAGUUCAUACCAUCAAGAACAGUGCAUGGUUGAUGAUUAUUAGCAUCCCCGAACAGUGAGUGAUAAACAUCACCUCAAAGGAUGGUCACUUGCGAGAGCAAGAUUAUUAUGUUUUACAAUAUAUUAACUUUUUAAUUAAUAAUUUCUGAAGUACAAAUAAAUUCAAUGAUAAGAACAUAUAAAUAUAUUUCUGAUUCAUGGCUUUGUUUUUGGAGUAUCUUGUUCCUUGUCAUCCUCACACUUUUAAGUUGCUCAAAUUGAAAGGAAUAAGAAAUCAUAUCCAGCGUGUAUGUUUAGAAAAAGAAAAGAGAACAUGGUCCUUUCAACUUUUGAAUGGUAGCACUGUGAAAGGAGUGAAAAAUGCAAGCACUUUUAAGAAUAUUUCCCGCACUUUUUCAGUCAAUUUUCUUACUUUAUUAUGUGAGAAAAGGAUCAAAAAUACCCCUCUACGUUAGUUAAUUGACCAAAUUUGUCCUUUGUUAUACUUUAGGAUCAAAUAUACCCCUACCGUUAACAAAGUAUAUAAACAUAUCCUCAUUUUAACGGUUGUCCACCAUGGCCUGACAUUUGAUGAGGUGGACGCCACAUGGCAAUGCCACCUCACCACUAGAAUUUCAUUCCUUAAUAUUCUUUUUUUCCAUUUCAAAUUUUAUCCUUUUUUCUUUUCUCUUCAAAUCAUAAAUGCGUUCUUUUCGGCUCCAUUAACAGCAUUCUAUUUAAGACUUAUAGUACAUAUUCAAUUUCUUUUCACAAAAUAAUUCAGUGUUCAAUUCUUAUUACUUUUAAUACAACUCUUUCUGGGUUGGUCAAGCAAGAAAUUGGCAUGGAAGUGUCCAUCAAAGAAAUUGAUGACAGAUGGAAUUCAUCGAGAAAUUGGCUGAAGAAUGGAGGAAGUUUGAAGGGCCAAAGGAGAAUAUGAAAGGUAUUGUGGGAGAAGUUGCGGCGGCGGAGAUAGAAGAGCUCGUCAGCAUAUUUAUGGAUGCCAACAGGCUACAGAGGGGAAGGAACAAGCUCAAUUUCUUGUUUUGAAAUCGUGUAAUUGCUCAGUCAUAAUGCUAGGGAGAUUAAAUCAAUUUUUCCAACAAUUUCAGAACUACCCACAAAAUUAUCAUCCAAAAAUAAAAAUACUCAUCAAAUUUUCACCCACUAUAACACAUGAACCAAAAUUUACAGAUACCCAUUGAAUUAUCUCUACACAAAUGGUCGCCUCAGUGAUUCAUAGAAAUUCUUGAAUCCAUUUCAUAAUAUGGGUACAAGGUCAAACCCGAAAUCUUUUCAAGACUUAUUGAAACUUGCAUCAAUGAAAUGUCAGUGCAUUUAGACGUAAGCCACACAAAAAGAUGAAAUUCGGAUUGAAAAAAUUAACCCUAUUAUUGAAACAAAAAGGAUAAAAUUUGAAAUGAAAAUUGAACCUGUUAUUGAAACAGUUAUGAAGAAAAACAUUACCUAAUGAGAUAUCGCACUACAGAGUAAUAUUCAGUCGAAAGAAUUCGUAAUCCCAGAGCACUAGCACUAUAUGUUGGUAUUUUAGCGGUGAACAAGGAAGACCGAUCAAUGAGGCUAGUGUAUAUUAUGUAAUCUGUGUAGUUUCUUCUCUUAGUUUUUUUAUCAUUUAAUUUCGGUAGCACUUUACACAAAUAUGCCCUGCUAUACCCAAUCUAUUCUAGUAGUUUGAGAAAAGAUUUACUUACUGAUUACUGGUGCAAAAAAAAUGAACACUUUCAGAUUUUAUUGCUCCAAAAAAAAAAAAAGAAGAAUACUCCAGUGGUGAGGUGGCAUUGAUAUGUGGCAUCCACCUCAUCAAAUGUUAGGCCAUGGUGGACAACUGCUAAAAUUAGGAGUAUGUUUACAUACAUUGUUAACGAUAGGAACGUAUUUAACCUUAACAUAUAACGAAGAACAAACUUAACCAAUUCACUAAAGUAAAGAGGUAUUUUUGACCGUUUUCCCUUAUUAUGCCGAUUCCUCUCUCCAUAUAUUUUAGAUUAGAAGAAGGCAAAGGCUAAUUGCCACUUUUUUUUUUGUUUGCCUAAACUUUUGGGACGUUAAAAUCACUUGCUUUUAAAAAAAAAAUAAUAAAGUGUUUGACCAAGCUUCUGAGAGAAAUGAAGAAUAACAAAAGCUAGAAAAAAAAAAUCUCCAAAAAUACAUACUACAAAACACUUCUAAAAAAACAGAGCUAAAUCAAACACUAAUUAUUGCUAAAAAAUGCUUUUAAAAGUGCUUUUAAAAGUACUUAAAAGUACUUGUUUUAAAAAGAAACCCUUUUGAAAUAAAGCUAAAUUUAGAAACUUAGCCAAACAGGCUAUUACAUGUUUGGUUUCUUAACUUCCUUCACUUGGAUAUAUAAAAUUCACAAGGAAAAUAUAUCACAAAUUAGUGUGGAGGUCUACGAUGGCCUUUGCUUCAUUUUGUUCAUACAAAUUAGUCUGAAGAUGUUUUGGAAACGUGAGCUUGCUCUGAAAAAUCAGCUAGUAACUCCAUACUUCAGCUGUACAAGCAGAUGAGCAUCAUGAACUCCAUUUCAUAUGUUGUC
rnacentral:lncRNA from 1 species